rnacentral:rRNA from 1 species
AACGUAGGAGGCGAGCGUUAUCCGGAUUUACUGGGCGUAAAGCGCGUGCAGGCGGUUGUGCAAGUUGGGCGUGAAAUCUCCCGGCUCAACUGGGAGGCGCCGUCCAAUACUGCAUGACUUGAGGGCAGGAGAGGGAAGCGGAAUUCCCGGUGUAGCGGUAAUAUGCGCAGAUAUCGGGAGGAACACCAGUGGCGAAGGCGGCUUCCUGGCCUGUUCCUGACGCUGAUACGCGAAAGCUAGGGGAGCGAACGGG